AUUCAACUGCCAUCCAAUUGUCAUCCAUCCUCAGACAAACCAGAUGUUCCUGGAACUCUAAAAUCAAGUGCCUAGGCAGMUUUUUGAACUGGGAACAAAAUCAACUGGACCCACAAGGAGGGUCUCAUGGAUGUUCCCUGGGACCACAAUGUGACUUGAGGGCUGCAAUAAGGAUAAUGUUUUUGUUUUGUUAUUUUGGACCAAUUUCUUUUGUGCUAAAUAAAUUGAAGUUGUGUUUAUAGUACUAUAUAAUCAACUAAUUGUACUUCUAUGUGCUAAAAUGACCCCACUUAAAGGAUACUGUGUAGUUGUAAGACAUUAUUUGAGAUGUCUUCUAUACACUUACAAUGUAGCGACAUGGAGAGCUACUCGCAAAUAGUAUGAAGUACAGCAGAAGUGUCACUAGAAUAUUCCACGUGCACUUC